CACACACACACACACUCACACACAGACUAGGGAACACUGGAAGUCGGCCUUCAGUGCCUGGGAGUUUCAGCGAGAAGCUCUUAGGCUGGGAUUUUUUCCGCCAGGUUGGAGCUAAUCACUUGUCACAGUGCCUAAUGACACAGCCUGGCUGGGUGACACCUUUUUUUUUUUUUUAAUUUUUAUUAUUUUUUUUUAAAUUUAAAUCAUUAUUCCCUUAUUCACAGGUCAGUGGGCGACUAGAUCAGGCAGUUCAUUUCCAACAGAGGGAUGCCCCAGAAGUUAGCUUUCUCCCUUCAGGUUUUCCACCGCUUCCCCUCCCCCCUUCCUGCAACGCCCCCGCGCCUCCUCUGCUUAGGGAUUUGUAGGCACGGCGCUAACCCUCUCCUUGCGCCCGCGGAAAAUCGGUUCUCUGAACACAUCCAGCCCGAAGUCUCAAAGGCCGAGAGCACAGCUGCUACUGCUUGGGGUGUCUCCUGUUUCUAGGGUUCUGGGAGGUGCGGCCGUUCUCGUCACUGCAGCUAGGGACCGGCUCUCGGCCGCGCGCCCGCCGCCGCCGCCGCCGCCGCCGCCUCCAUGCUGCAGCGCGGAGCGCAGCUCCUCUGGGCCGGCGUUGCCUGCUCGCACCACGCUGGGGAGCGGCUCUCCCAGGCCUGCCGGGGCGGCGGCUGCCUGCCCGGACUGCAGCUUCCCGCCUUGAGCCUGAGCUGAGGACUCGUCCCAGGGCCUCAGCCAGCGGGAGGGGCGCCCACCGCGCUGUGUGCAGCGGCGCAGGGAGGUGGUGAGCCCGUGCAGAGCAGCCGGAGCUGUGUGUGUGUGUGUGUGUGUGUGUGUGUGUGUGUGUGUGUGUGUGUGUGUGUGUGUGUGUGUUCGCCUGCGAGCUUUUCUUCUUCCCUUGAAGAUGUGAGAUGUGAAUGGCUUCUUAGCUAGCUGGUCCUUAGGAUUCUGGACUUUGUGGAGCUGUGGGCACAACGCACCCAUGUAAUUCAUGUUGUGUGGUCGGUUAUCUUAGGGGAAAAAAAAAAGGCGCAACUCGACGGGGGUGGGGCAGAUCCAGGAAACAUUCUGGAAAGGAGAAAUAGAAAGAGAGAGGCGUAGAAAUGUGAAUAUUGAAAGACCUGAGAAGACUUUUGGAAUCUCCCGGCUGGCCCUUCAGUUUUCCCGGCACUAAUCUGGAGGUUUUCCACCUUUUCAAGUCAUCUUGGUGUUCCUCUAGUGUUUUGUAAGCCUCUUUUCAGCUAGCUGCGUGUGUGUAUGCGUGUGUUUGUGCGCCUGUGUAUGUGCGCGCGCCUAUCAGAUGCAUUUGACAGUCUUUUUUCCAACUGCCCAGAAGCAAACGUGUUAACUCAGAGAUGCCCCUCCGUGCCCAGGUUCUCGCAGAGCAUGGAGGACACCCAGACCGGUUUUCCAGGCUGGAUUCUGGGAGGCUGAUGGGCUGUGAACCCAGGUGUAAGGAUCACUUAAUCCAGAGGCUUGGAAAGUGGCUGUAUUAACGAGCUUCCAGGUACAUCGCAAGGUCAAGAGAGGGACUUGCAGCUGUAUUAAUUCCCUGCAUCUUGACUUUCCUGUUUUGGUCCGAAGAAUAUGAAUGUGUCUGUCCACAACAUUUGAAGCCCAAACUUCAGCACUCCGAGCUGGUUUACUGUACAAACAAGGUAAUGAGGAUUGCUUUUCAAACUGCUUAACGAAUCCCCGACGCUUCCACAGCCCUUCCAGGACUCCCUUUCUGCCCAGCGAAAUGUCACCAGCUUUUGAAUUCCAAGGAUUUGGCUGCAGGAGAACUUGAAGGAAACGUGAUCAAAGGGCUAUGUGAGAACGCGACUGCUCUUUUUGCCGGUAGGCUGGUGGGCUUCCGGACCGGAUCUUGAGAAGGACCAGAACUGUUUCUCCCUCCCGGUGCGGUUCUGGGAGUGCUUGUGCAAGUGUGAGUGCGCGCGCGCCCGGCUGAGAAUGUGUGAGUGUGUGUGAGCGUGUCUCUGUGUGUGCGCGGCCGCCCUGCUUCUGCCCGCUCCCCGGGCGCGGAGCCACCGGUUUGGGCGAUUUGCGCUGAUUCCCCACCCAGCGCGACCUGCGAGCAGCGAAGGCAGGGGCAGGAGCCACCUCUCUGACUCCCUAGGAUGCGGGUGCUGAGCUAUGGCAAAGGGCAGCGAAGUGAUGAGCUAGACCCCAGUACGACUGUGAAAGCCACCUGGAGCCACCUUGCCUGGAUCUUACCUGCCGGCAGAAAGUCUUCCUAUGACCGUCUUUCCCCCUAGAGGCACCAGAGCUCCUGUAUCCAUUCAGCCGGGUAUUGAGAAGAUAUGUAGUAGCUGACAACCUUCUGUCUGACAGCACUCUCAGAACCAGCAUUGGAAAUGCGUUCACCCUGCCGGUCUUCUGCAGCAGCCAGGCCACGUGCUGACUCCUUCACGGUAGUAAGGAACUCUCCAGGCUUCAGAAGCUCUUAAUCCUGAUCUACAAUGGAAAAAUUCCUUUUUUACCUGUUUCUCAUUGGCAUAGCUGUGCGAGCUCAGAUCUGUCCAAAGCGUUGUGUCUGUCAGAUUUUGUCUCCAAAUCUUGCAACCCUUUGUGCCAAGAAAGGGCUUCUAUUUGUUCCACCAAACAUUGACAGAAGAACUGUGGAGCUACGGCUGGCAGACAAUUUUGUUACAAAUAUCAAAAGGAAAGAUUUUGCCAAUAUGACCAGCUUGGUGGACCUGACUCUAUCCAGGAAUACAAUAAGUUUUAUUACACCCCAUGCUUUUGCUGAUCUACGAAAUUUGAGAGCACUGCAUUUGAAUAGCAACAGAUUGACUAAAAUUACAAAUGAUAUGUUCAGUGGGCUUUCCAAUCUCCACCAUUUGAUAUUGAACAACAAUCAGCUGACUUUAAUUUCUUCCACAGCCUUCGAUGAUGUUUUUGCCCUUGAGGAGCUGGACCUGUCCUAUAAUAAUCUAGAAACGAUUCCCUGGGAUGCUGUAGAGAAGAUGGUGAGCUUGCACACCCUUAGUUUGGAUCACAAUAUGAUUGACAACAUUCCUAAGGGUACUUUCUCCCACUUGCACAAGAUGACUCGGCUAGAUGUAACAUCAAAUAAACUGCAAAAGCUGCCUCCUGACCCUCUGUUUCAGCGAGCACAGGUGCUGGCCACCUCAGGAAUCAUAAGCCCAUCGACUUUUGCAUUGAGUUUUGGUGGAAACCCCUUGCAUUGCAAUUGUGAGUUGCUGUGGCUGAGGCGAUUGUCUCGAGAAGAUGACCUUGAGACGUGUGCUUCUCCUGCACUUUUAACUGGUCGUUAUUUUUGGUCAAUUCCUGAGGAAGAGUUUUUGUGUGAGCCUCCGCUCAUCACUCGUCAUACACAUGAGAUGAGAGUCUUGGAGGGUCAAAGGGCAACACUGAGGUGCAAAGCUCGAGGAGACCCUGAACCUGCGAUUCAUUGGAUUUCCCCUGAAGGGAAGCUGAUUUCAAAUGCAACACGAUCUCUGGUGUAUGAUAACGGGACACUUGACAUCCUUAUAACAACUGUAAAAGAUACAGGAGCUUUUACCUGUAUUGCUUCCAAUCCGGCAGGGGAAGCAACACAAACCGUGGAUCUUCACAUAAUUAAACUCCCUCACCUACUAAACAGCACCAAUCAUAUCCAUGAGCCUGAUCCUGGUUCUUCUGAUAUCUCCACAUCCACUAAGUCAGGCUCGAAUGCUAGCAGUAGUAAUGGUGAUACAAAAAUGAGUCAAGAUAAAAUCGUGGUGGCAGAAGCAACUUCGUCAACAGCAUUACUAAAAUUUAAUUUUCAAAGAAAUAUUCCCGGAAUCCGUAUGUUUCAAAUCCAGUACAAUGGUACUUAUGAUGACACCCUUGUUUACAGGAAGUCACGUUGGGAGGCUAUCCCAUUACCCCAAAGAUGCAGCCAUUGCUCAAAGCAGUUUUGGAGUUAUCUUUAGAACCUUCGGCAUACUAUUUUGAAUAUCCUCAGUGGUGGCAAAUCUUCGUCUUUGAGGAAUGAUACCUCCUACGAGCAAAACAUUUCUGGUCAAUAAUCUGGCAUCUGGAACUAUGUAUGACUUGUGUGUCUUGGCCAUCUAUGACGAUGGCAUCACUUCCCUCACUGCCACAAGAGUCGUGGGUUGCAUCCAGUUUACUACGGAACAGGAUUAUGUCCGUUGCCACUUUAUGCAGUCCCAGUUCUUGGGUGGCACCAUGAUUAUUAUCAUUGGUGGAAUCAUUGUUGCAUCCGUGUUGGUUUUCAUCAUCAUACUAAUGAUCCGGUAUAAGGUUUGUAACAAUAAUGGGCAACACAAGGUCACGAAGGUUAGCAACGUUUAUUCUCAGACUAAUGGGGCUCAGAUGCAAGGCUGCAGUGUCACGCUGCCCCAGUCCAUGUCCAAACAAGCCAUGGGCCAUGAAGAGAAUGCCCAGUGCUGUAAAGUUGCCAGUGACAAUGCAAUUCAGUCUUCAGAAACAUGUUCGAGUCAGGACUCUUCUACCACUACCUCUGCUUUGCCUCCUACCUGGACUUCAAGUGCGCCUGUGUCUCAAAAGCAGAAAAGAAAGACUGGCACGAAGCCAAGUGCUGAGCCGCAGAGUGAAGCUGUCACAAAUGUUGAGUCCCAAAACACUAACAGGAACAACUCAACUGCCUUGCAGUUAGCUAGCUGCCCUCCUGAUUCUGUUACAGAGGGGCCCACAUCUCAAAGAGCACAUACCAAGCCAAAUGCUUUGCUGACUAAUGUUGAUCAGAAUGUCCAGGAAACACAGAGGCUGGAGUCCAUAUGAAGAGCAACACUUCUCUCUCUCUCCUGAGAACAGUUGCCCCUAAUAUUUUUACUGGAUAAAAUUUGAAAAUGUUUCAGUUCACAGCUGUGGAUUGUUGAACUGCUUGUCCCAGAACGAAUUGCUCAUGGGAGCCAAAGCUACAAGGUCUCUGAUGUGGUGAAACUGGCUCCCUCCCAACAUGGUUCAUCCCCUUUUAAAACCAAAUUUUUUUCUUCUGAUCUACAAAUAUUUUUUUUAAUAAAGGAAAAAGAACAAGCCUUCAUUGGCAUCAAGUUCUGUAUCAAAUCCAUCCUACAUUGCCAUCCAUGAUUUAACAGACUGUAGAAUCUUGAAUAAUCUAUAUCACUUUAACAAAUAAAUGUUUUACUAUGACACAAUUUGCACAUUGCCUUAUUUUGGGACUACCUUUUGCUUCAAGCCUAAAUGGUGGUGUGGAUUAUUUUUACAUAAAAUUAUAUGUUUUAAUAACCAAGUUCUUUUAUACCUAUGAAAUAAAAAUCUUUAGGAAUUCCAAAUUGCUCAAUAAUAGAAUAAACUUUUCGUUAGGGUUGUGCCUAUGUCUACAGGAGGGGAAAACAACUAUUUGAACUCAUUUAUAGCAGCUGCAUUAUUCCGUGUAAGAUGCAAAGUGUUCAGUCCUCUAUCUCCUAAUGGACCAUCAGAAAAGGAGCAGUUUGGCAAAAGUAUAGAUCGGCUUUGACUAAAGAACAAAGAAAACGGUAAAUUUUAAUAACUUGGUCAGGCUUAUGUGUCAUGGUCAGAAUCUUUUCUCCAUCAUUUCACAUUUUCAGAGAAAAAAAAAAAAAAAACAACCCUCAAACCCUCACAUUUAUGUUAACCCCAGAAUAUUUAGAAAUUUAAUAACGUUGAAGUCCAUAAUGUGAAUAAAGCCACACUCAGAUGUUAUCCAACUUUAGCAUUUUAGAGUAUAUACUAGACUAAAGCAUCAGGAACAGUUUCUGGUCUUAUUCUAAAUUGUCACAAUUAUUUGAGUAAAACUUGAAGCUGAAUAUGACCUACCUUAAUUUGGUAUGAGAUGUAAGUUUAAUGAAAUUCAAGUAGUAAUUUUCUUUACUAGUGAUUUUUUUUCCAAAUGUACCAGAUCAUAAUUGGUUUUCUCCACAUUAAAAGCAGCAACCUGUUGCACUAGGCAAAAAAUACAUGCACACUUCCCAGGCAUGACAAAUGCGUGCUUAAAAUGGAAGCCAUUUGCUUGAGUUGGACUAUUGGUGAUGAUUUUUGAUGUGGGAAUUUGUUUCAUUCUCUGUUUGUUGACAAGUUUGAUUCUUUGGAAAAUUGUGUGUGUGUGUGUGUUUGUGUGUGUGCGCGCGUACAAAUGUUUAUGUUGAAGAAAUGGAUAUACACUAAGCAAUGAAAGCUGGCAUAGAAGAGUUCUUCUAUCAUAUUUCUUUUCUCUUCCAAUGUGCAAAUGCCAGGCAAUGGUGAUUCUGUAUCACAGUCUAGAGAGUAUUUCAAGGCUUGUUUUGGAGAUGGUCCCAUUUUUGCCCCUACUCCAUCCUUGCAUUUCUUGUUGGUGAUACUUACCUAGUGUUCUGAGCAGAGUCUUUCACUACUUGUUUUUGUUUUUGUUUUUUAGGAAAAUCACCAUAAUUUUCUGUUCUAUAGAGUAUACUUUUAAUGUAUUAAAAUGAAAUUAUUUAAUUUCUUGCUCUACAUUUCCAACAAUAAACAAAAGUCUUGCAUUUGCAGCAUAUUCAGUCAUGCAUUAAGCAAGCUAUCAUAAUGUUUACAUAAAAAUAAUCAUUAUUAUGAAGAAUCUCCAUAUAUGAUUCUCCAGGUAAGCAAUAAGGAAUAAUUUUGUGCAAUGACAUACAUGGAUACAUUUUUAAAUUUUAAUAUGUUUUAUGUAUUUAUUUUGUACAUAUGUAUGUAUGCAUGAUGUAUGGAUAUGCAUAUGCCAUGGCAUACAUGUGGAGUUGAAGGGACAAUUUCAAUGAACAGGUUUCUCCUUCUACCAUAUCUUCUAUAUUGGAGAUUGAACUCAAAUUAUCAGAGUUGGUGGCAGGUACCUUCACCCUAUUAGCUAUGUCACUGGAUCCAAACUCCCCAACAUUAAGGAAAUUAAAUAGAACACAAAUAACCAAGUAAGAUUAAUGAUCAUCCACAAAUUUCUAUAGAAAUGUGACAAAAUAAUUCAAAGAUGAAUGGGAACACUACAUUUAAUUCAUUGUGUCAUGAUCCAAAUGCAUAAAUAAUCUAAUGAGUGGUUGCAAAUGCCAACCAUAGAAUCAGUGAGCACACACAGAAAUCAUUCCGAUGUUUUCAUUUCUAGUUAACUCUUCAAUUGUCUUACAUAGAUGGAUGCUCACAGAAGCUCUUAGGAAGCAUCUUAGACACAGCAUUUUAUAAAACAUAGCAAGAACAUGAAUCAGAAUUAAGAAAAGGAGUGGUAAGUCUGACAUAUAUGCAAUGCUUAUAAAUUGCUAGGCACACUGGAAACUAAUGUUCAAACUUCAAGCCUAAAAUUUAUUAUAAUUAUAAUCUGAAGAACUGAGAAAGACAAAUAAAGUAUAAUUUGGUAAAAAAUAGUAACAAAUAAAAUUGAAGUAAUUUUAAUUAUUACUUUUAGUUUUACAAAUGGUAGACUAUAUUUACAGUAAUUUUGAUAUUCAAUUUAAUAUAAAAAUAUUUACAACUUAUGCAUAGUGCUUUGAAACUGCGUUAUUUUUCCAAAUAUACUUGACUACUCAGAUUAUUUCAGUUUUGUAUUUUAUGUUACUUUUGUUUCAUUCGAAAAUAUUUUUACUUUUAUUUAAAAUAUAUAUUAGCACUUUUAAGAUUUUCAGUUGAAAAAUCAUAUUCAAAAUAUACUGAAACAUUGACUAUCUUAGGGGCACAACAUCUUUAAAUUCACAUACAGACUAAGGUCUUCAACAAAGUAAAAUUGUAUUGCACGUGCAAGUGUGAUUGUCAGGGUGUGUUCUAUACUGCUUUUCAAGAAGGCUUUUACUGUGGAAAGCAUCUUUAACACAAUAAACAAGGUGUUUAACUUAUUCGAUAUAUGCCAUCAGUGUUAACUGGACUAACAAUUUUGUGCUCAUUCUAUUUGUUAGCAAUAAUGCUAAUUUCUCCUUUCUUAGUAGUUCCUGCUCAACUCUGCAAACUUUACUCACUGUGAAUUUUUUUGAUGUAGAUAUUUUAUGUAAGCAAGAUAAUGUAAUAUUUCUUUUGUAAAGAACUUAUUCCAAUUAUCAAAUUUAAGGUUACUUCACAUUGAAGGAUAAAUAACAGUAUUAUCAUUAAUCAUUUGUUUUAAUCAUUCAUUUUUAUGGACACAUAUUUUUUACUCUUUGGCUACUGUUAAUUAUUUCAAAAUGUAUAAUGUUGUCCAAAUAUGACUUGAUUCUCAGUUUUUAAUUCUUUGCAUUUUGGUUUAGAUGUUGAGCCACUAGGUUGUGUGGCAAUCUUUGUUGUGAUUCUUCUUCCCUUUUUAAAUAUGAUUUUUAAAUAAAUUGCUGCAUUGAUGUCCAUUACACCUACAUUUGUUUACUUUCCAUGAAGCAAUAUGUGGGACUUAUUUGACCAUAUUUGUAAUUUUCAAAUAAGUCUAAGUCACAGUCAAAAGUUGCUUAACUAUGAGGGUACAUUUGGACACAUACUCCACCAGAUGACUUCUCAUUGUAAUCAGGUAAAAAUGCAAACAAAAAUAGGCUGGAGACCAUGUCACUGCCCAAUGGAAUCUUAGUGGUUCAGUAGCAUACUUGCUAUCAUAAUAUUUGAAAUACUUGUACCAAUUGGAUGUUUCCCUUGAAUUUGAGUUGCAUCUCCUAAAUGUCUCAUAGUAUUGAUUGCUGUUCAGUAUAUUUACUGGACUCUUAAUAUCUUCUCUGGUGAACUUUCCAGUCUAAUAUUUGGCCAUCUUUAAAUUAGUUUGUCUUUUAAUAGGCAUGGGUGUGUUCUAUUUGAGGUAUUGUUUAUAUAUCUGUAACUGAAUUUAUAAUUUUCAAUUUUCUCCCAUAUUCUGGAGUGUCUUACCAAUCUCUUUUAUAGAAACUUUUACUAUAUUCAUUUCUUUGUGUGUGUAUGCACAACUCAGGAUAUGCGUUGAGGUCAAACAAAAAAGUUUAGAGUCAGGUUUUGCCUUUUACUAUAUUGGUUACAGAUAUUAAAUUGAUGUUGCCAGAUAUAAUAUAUGUGUGUGUGCAUGUAUAUAUGUAUGUAUAUAUAUAUAUAUAUAUAUAUAUAUAUGUGUGUGUGUGUGUGUGUGUGUGUGUGUGUGUGUGUAUGUAGUAUAUAAAGAUAUAUACAUAUAUAUCUUUGAGAAAGAAAAAAAUUAUUAUGAGGUAAGUAUAUUCUAUCUUUCUAUUAUUGCUUGUCAAUUUAGUGAUAAUUGAAUAAUUUAUUCUCCAACUCCAGGAAAUGAUGUUCUUUUCUUUAAAAUUUUAUAACUUUAUUUAAAGUAAUUUUGUGGAUGAUGUGAAAUGGAAAACCAUUCUAUCAGCACUGUCAGAAUACACUGCUCAUUGCUCUUUUAUUGAACACUUCUUCCUUGACUACAAUCAACUGAUCUUUUCAAUGUAUUCUUUCAGGCAUCCUGCUACUUUCCACUAGACUUUCUGUUACUCUAAUGAGAGUACCACAGCACUACAAUUGGAACUUAAUUAGCUUGUAAAGAGAAAGCCAAAGCAUGCCUUUUUCUCUUCUUCCACUUUCAUAAUCAAUAUUACUUUCAGUAUUUAGGAUACCUUGAAAUUCAAUGCUCAUGUGAUGUUUAACUUUUCAUUUCUGUUAACAAGGAAUUUCUGUUGGAAUAUCUGAGUGAUUCUAAGAAACUUAAAAUUGCAAUGUAUAAUAUCAAGAAAUUAACAGAUCUAGAGCUUAAAAUACAUAAACAUGAAUAUGCAUAUGUUUGUUCAUGAUAUUCUCCAAAUUAUCGUUGUUUCAGCAGUAUUAUUCAUUUUGAAUUAUUUCUUUUGGCAUAUAAAAAAACCCUCCAACUUUUAUUUUAGGCCUAUUCAUUUUUUGUACUUGGCCAAUGUUUGCUUUAGGUGGUUUUGGACUUUAUUUUUGUUCAGGUAAGUUAAUAACCAAAAUGCUUUCUUGAUCAAGUAUCCUUUCUAUCAACUUCAGUGUUCCUUUUCUCCUAUAACCAUCUUCACUUCAUGAUCAGGUCUCUAAUGGUACUGCAGUGAUCUCACUCUUUGUCGUUUGUUUGCAAUGAAAUAAUCUUUCAGGCACAGUCUGUUUGUUCGUUUCAAUACUGGAAAAGCAUGGAAACUUUAUUUAUUGUUUUCUUCUGUUUUUACCUGAUUUUUUGUUUGGAAAGAUUAAUUAAUUUUCAUUGAAAAUUAUCGAUGAGAACAGACAUAAAACACUACUCUUAUUUGAUUUUGUGUGUCUUUUAUCUUGCAAAAAACAACCCUGAAUUGCUUUUAAUGUAUAAAUGACUCUGAAUUUUGCAAUCUGUAAAAGAUUUCUUCCCUGGAUUUCACCAUUUUUAACCAUAAUCUCCCUUCAAACGUUGUAAGGUUAUUAGUUAAUCCUACUAUACUUUAGGACUAUCAAGGUCUACUAUAUCUCUGAACAGAGAACUGAUUUAGACAAAAUAUAGGUGAUUAUUUAAGCGCAUUCCUUCAGGUACUUUCAAAACCAUUUAGGAAAGACAGAAAGCAUAAGGCAUAUGUGAGGUCUGCUGUCCUUGCUCAGAAUGGGGAACAGUGUGUGAACAGGUGCAGAGGCAGAUACCAUGUCAAUAUUUCUAGUUAUACAAGUUAGGAGAUGUUGCCAUCCUGACAUCCUGUCAUCUCAAGUGUUCUGUCUUCACAGCAUUUAUUUAGUUGCUGUAACCUUUGACCUUUAUCUAGAUAUCUGGGUGCACUGGAUAUGACUGUUUUAGUUUCCUUUAAUAUAUCUGGAAGAAUUUAAACCGACCUGCUCACAUUCACAUUAGGCUAACAUUCUUGCAUGUUAGAUUCAAUGGCAUUUUUAAAUUAUACUGCAAUUGGAAAAAUAAAACCUGAAAGCCACAAGGUAAUAUGUUGUUAUCAUUAGAGUUAUAAUAUGUGAUAAUCUUUUAAAAAAAUGAGUUCAGCAUUUGCAUUUUCUAUGUGUAAAAUUGCUAUAUGGUUUUGCUUUUGUCAAACUCCCCACCCAAAAUUAGCCUGCCUUCAUGCUUUAUUUGCGGGUUCCAUUACAUCAAUUUCAUCCAAUUUGAAGUUUACUUCAAAGGACUAAUGCCAAAUAUUCUUCUGAAACUUAUUAAUGAACUUCAAUAGCAGUCAUUAUGAAAAUUAAUCUGUUACAAAUGUACAAACCAGCAAUUGCAUGUCAACACCCAUGUAAUCAGACUUAAAUAAUAUUUCUUGCAUUUCUUUUUUUUAAAUUAAGUAUUUUCUUUUUCUUGUGUUUCUAAAACAGGUAAUAAAAUGCUGUAUAUGGCUAUACAUCAUGACAAAAGCUACAAUAAUAUUAAAAUACAAUGUCUUCAAAAGCAUGAAAAUGAAAAUAUAUCUGCAUCAGUAAUUCAUACAUAAUCUUUAAUAAGAAAAUUCAUAUGUAAAAGUAUUUGUAAACCACAGGACAUUAAUUUUUGUAUAUUAUUGUAGUAAAUGUAUUCAUUGAUCUGUUUUGAGAUGUUUUCAGAUUUUUUGCUGUUAUCACUUAUAUUUAAGGGGAAAAAAAGGACAUUAGAGACAACUACAAACAAUAUGCCUAACUUGACAUUUUUUUACUCCAAGAAUUUGACAUGUAAAAGCAUUAGAGAAACAUUUAAAAAUUAAUGGGUCCAAGUUUUCCCAUAAAAAUUAAGAAAACAAUGCUGACACACUGAAAAUCAUGUUACUUUUCAUAACAGUUUAGGUUUAAACAUGUUUACUUGGAUAUGGUUGUUAAUAGUUUUAUUUGAAUGAAUUUUCAAAAGAAGUGCCUUAGAGAAGUGUUCAUGUAGACUCUUCAUCCACAAACAGACCUCUCUAGCAUUAUGAGGGUAACAUUUUAACAAGGAGGAUGUUACCUUAAGACUUCCUACUUUUGCAUCUAUUCAUUUAGCAUUUAAUGUCCUUGGUUGAUAUCCCACAAGUAGAUAUAUAGAAACAUAUACUUAAGGACAAGCCAAAUACUGAUGACUAAACUGAAUAACUAUAGGCAUAUCUUUGUGCAAGCAUAAGUAUUAGUAGGGAUUCGGGAGCCUGGAUUUGGAAAUGGAGUACAAACCAGCCAAAGGGCUCACUAAACAAGAGACAUAAAAAGAGUUCACAGAGUGGUGCUUCUUAAGGUAGGAAAAUGUAAUGACAUACCCACACAAUGACUACAUUAAAAGAACCACAAGAUGACAUGAUCCCACUUUGAGCUAAUGUAGUAACAUCAUCAACUCAAACCAUUCAUAGCUGUUGAUGUUAUUUAUGAAACUAUGCACUUGGAAUUCAGUUUCUUAGAGAUCAAUAAAAUGCUACUAAGCUAUGGGAUUUCUUCAAUGUGUAGUGGUGCAUUGGUUAUAAAGUCCAAGUAAUGUAUAUGUGCUACAUAAAUAAAUUGCAAUAAGAGCUCUAAACAGAAAGAAUGAAGGAUGACAUAUGUGAAUCAAGUAAAGACAUGAUUUGAUUAGGAUAGCAGAUAACAAAUUGAAAGAUGUGAUAAAAUGCAAAAUGUAUCAAUAGAACUGUAUUUCUUUAUCAUAUAUAUAUAUGUAUAUAUAUAUGUGUGUAUAUAUAUAUAUAUUAACAAAUAUACUUGUUAUACCAAACCAGUGAAUUGAACACUAUUUGAUGAUGGAUCCAGGCAUAAAGACAUUUUUGAUAGGAAUAAAAACAAUGUAUAAGUAAAAAAUUCUUAUAUUUUCUAUACUAUAUUAUGAAAAUAAUUAAUAUGUGGGAGACCAUAGAAAAUGGAUUAUAUGUGGCUAUAAGAAUCUGAAUUUAGACCAAAGAUUGAGGAUAAGACUGGGAGUACCAAAGAAUGUCUGGUAUAAAAAUGCUCUUAUUUUUUAGUGUAACUUGGAGAUUGAUAUUGAUGACAGUAAAUAUAUAGAGCUUGAGAGUUAGGCCUGAUUGUAUAUUCCUCUGAUUAUUACAAUUGGCUAUAUUGAAGUCCCAACAUCAAAAGAUUGGUUCUUGUCUUUCCUACAUAUCACGUUUGAGGACAGUAUGGGAUAUAUAAGACUCUAGCUGGAAGAAAGAGAACAACCAGAAAGAAUAAAAGAAAGAAUGCAAGAAAGUAUGGAUGGAAGGGAAGAGGGAAGGGAAAAUAAUCAUAAUUUGAACAUGAAAUUAUAUAUAAUUUUGUAUAAAGCAAAGUCUAGUUUAUCUUCCUUGAUGUUUAGUAGUCAUCCUCUUGCUCCACUCCAGGAACAGGAGCUUGUUUUCUGUCCUGAACUCAGUCAAAAAUAGCUACUCACAAUUCAUUUCUACUAUCCUCUCAAGGAUUGCUUUAGUUUACACAAAUACUUCAUAAGUUCUGCAUUCAAGAGUUGCUUAACUCUACUGUGUUUGGUGGAACACUGAAUGGGAAUUGAGUACAGUUGAAUUAGUUUAUAUAGGCUUAGCCUUUGUGGAGAGAUAACGUUCUAUUUCUGUAUUUCUAUUUCUAAUCUGUAUAUGACUUUAUGUUACAAAGUUUUUAUUUAUUUAAUAGUUUAUAUUCUCUUAAAAUUAAAAGUGUGAUAAAUUGUCCUUUCCCACUGAGGCCCAAGCAGCCAGUCCAGGUGAGGAUCAAAUGGCAGGCAACAGUCUGGAUCAUCCAUGUUGUGGCGGUACCUAAGAGGGCUCCUUUUCCUUGAGGCACAGAAGAAGGGACAGUGGGGAUAGGAAUUUGUAAGGGUGGGACUGAGAGAAGAAGAGGGAGGGAUGUGAAAUGAAUAAACUUAAUAAAUUAUUGGAAAAUGUGUUAAAUUGUCACUGUAACAUAUAAAUAAAUAUAAAGUAAUUUUUAAAAAAAAUUGAUGACAGACAUUUUCUCAAAUAAUUUUCUAUGGCACAAUUAUUUUUCUAAUGUUUCUUCUUUUUACUCACUGACAAAUAUCUGAUGCUCAAAAUUUUUGUAGGAUAAUUAUUUUUAUGAUGUACACUACAUGUGUAAAACUGAACUUUGCUGUUAUUUUGUAUCUUUGAUUUUGAAGUCUAAACAUCAUGCUUAUUUUUUGUAACCUGAAGCAUCAAAAUAGCCAACAUUCUUAUCGUUUGUCCAGUACAUUUGUUGAAACAAUAUAAUUUGAUCCCUAUAUAUUCUCUUUCUCUUUUUAGUAAACUAUUACUUUCUUCUA